rnacentral:rRNA from 1 species
UACAGGGGGUGCAAGCGUUACUCGGAAUUAUUGGGCGUAAAGAGCGCGUAGGCGGUUUCGUAAGUCUGAUGUGAAAUCCCUGGGCUCAACUCAGGAAGCGCAUUGGAUACUGCGAAGCUGGAGUACUGGAGAGGAGAGUGGAAUUCCUGGUGUAGAGGUGAAAUUCGUAGAUAUCAGGAGGAACAACAGAGGCGAAGGCGGCUCUCUGGACAGUAACUGACGCUGAGGCGCGAAAGCGUGGGGAGCAAACAGG